rnacentral:rRNA from 1 species
CCUACGGGAGGCAGCAGUGGGGAAUAUUGCACAAUGGGGGAAACCCUGAUGCAGCGACGCCGCGUGAGUGAAGAAGUAUUUCUGUAUGUAAAGCUCUAUCAGUAGGAACGAGACAAGACGGUACCUGACUACGAAGCCCCGGCUAACUACGUGCCAGCAGCCGCGGUAAUACGUAGGGGGCAAGCGUUAUCCGGAAUUACUGGGUGUAAAGGGAGCGUAGACGGCUGUGCAAGCCUGAAGUGAAAGGCGGGGGCCCAACCCCGGGACUGCUUUGGAAACUGUAAGGCUGGAGUGCAGGAGAGGUAAGCGGAAUUCCUAGUGUAGCGGUGAAAUGCGUAGAUAUUAGGAGGAACACCAGUGGCGAAGGCGGCUUACUGGACUGUAACUGACGUUGAGGCUCGAAAGCGUGGGGAGCAAACAGGAUUAGAUACCCUGGUAGUC